AUUGAACGCUGGCGGCAGGCCUAACACAUGCAAGUCGAGCGGAUGAAGGGAGCUUGCUCCUGGAUUCAGCGGCGGACGGGUGAGUAAUGCCUAGGAAUCUGCCUGGUAGUGGGGGAUAACGUCCGGAGACGGGCGCUAAUACCGCAUACGUCCUGAGGGAGAAAGUGGGGGAUCUUCGGACCUCACGCUAUCAGAUGAGCCUAGGUCGGAUUAGCUAGUUGGUGGGGUAAAGGCCUACCAAGGCGACGAUCCGUAACUGGUCUGAGAGGAUGACCAGUCACACUGGAACUGAGACACGGUCCAGACUCCUACGGGAGGCAGCAGUGGGGAAUAUUGGACAAUGGGCGAAAGCCUGAUCCAGCCAUGCCGCGUGUGUGAAGAAGGUCUUCGGAUUGUAAAGCACUUUAAGUUGGGAGGAAGGGCAGUAAGUUAAUACCUUGCUGUUUUGACGUUACCAACAGAAUAAGCACCGGCUAACUUCGUG
rnacentral:rRNA from 1 species